rnacentral:rRNA from 1 species
CUACGGGUUGCUGCAGUCGAGGAAAUUUUACAAUGCUCGCAAGAGUGAUAAAAUAAGCCAGAGUGUUUCUUUUAAAGAAACUUUUAUCUACUGUAAAAAAGCAGAUGAAUAAGGACUGGGCAAGACCGGUGCCAGCCGCCGCGGUAAUACCGGCGGUCCAAGUCGUAUCCAUAUUUAUUGGGUCUAAAACAUUCGUAGCUUGUUUGAUAAGUCUCUUGUGAAAUCUGAUAUCUUAAAUAUCAGGCGCGCAAGAGAUACUGUCUUACUAGAGACCGGAAGACGCAAAGAGUAUGGUUGAGGUAGCGGUAAAAUGUGUUAAUCUCAAUUAGACUAACAAUGGCGAAGGCACUUUGCGAGUACGGAUCUGACAGUGAGGAAUGAAGGCUAGGGGCGCAAAAGGGAUUAGAUACCCCAGUAGUC